GACGAACGCUGGCGGCGUGCCUAACACAUGCAAGUCGAACGGAAAGGCCCUGCUUGCGUGGGGUGCUCGAGUGGCGAACGGGUGAGUAACACGGGAGUAACCUGCCCUAGACUUUGGGAUAACUGCGGGAAACUGGGGCUAAUACCGGAUAGGAGCUCCUGCUGCAUGGGGGGGGAUGGAAAGUUUCGGCGGUUGGGGAUGGACUCGCGGCUUAUCAGCUUGUUGGUGGGGUAGUGGCUUACCAAGGCAUUGACGGGUAGCCGGCCUGGGAGGGUGACCGGCCACAUUGGGACUGAGAUACGGCCCAAACUCCUACGGGAGGCAGCGGUGGGGAAUAUGGCACAAGGGGCGGAGGCCGGAUGCAGCAACGCCGCGCGCGGGAUGACGGCCUUCGGGUUGUAAACCGCUUUCGCCGGUGACGAAGCGUGAGUGACGGUAAUGGGUAAAGAAGCACCGGCUAACUACGUG
rnacentral:rRNA from 1 species